rnacentral:rRNA from 1 species
GCAGAGCACUCCUCGGGAGGCAGCAGUGGGGAAUAUUGCACAAUGGGCGCAAGCCUGAUGCAGCCAUGCCGCGUGUAUGAAGAAGGCCUUCGGGUUGUAAAGUACUUUCAGCAGUGAGGAAGGUGGGUAUGUUAAUAGCAUAUUCAUUUGACGUUAGCUGCAGAAGAAGCACCGGCUAACUCCGUGCCAGCAGCCGCGGUAAUACGGAGGGUGCGAGCGUUAAUCGGAAUUACUGGGCGUAAAGCGCAUGCAGGUGGUUUGUUAAGUCAGAUGUGAAAGCCCGGGGCUCAACCUCGGAAUUGCAUUUGAAACUGGCAAACUAGAGUACUGUAGAGGGGGUAGAAUUUCAGGUGUAGCGGUGAAAUGCGUAGAGAUCUGAAGGAAUACCGGUGGCGAAGGCGGCCCCCUGGACAGAUACUGACACUCAGAUGCGAAAGCGUGGGGAGCAAACAGGAUUAGAUACCCUGGUAG